GAUGAACGCUGGCGGCGUGCCUAAUACAUGCAAGUCGAGCGAACGGACGAGAAGCUUGCUUCUCUGAUGUUAGCGGCGGACGGGUGAGUAACACGUGGAUAACCUACCUAUAAGACUGGGAUAACUUCGGGAAACCGGAGCUAAUACCGGAUAAUAUUUUGAACCGCAUGGUUCAAAAGUGAAAGACGGUCUUGCUGUCACUUAUAGAUGGAUCCGCGCUGCAUUAGCUAGUUGGUAAGGUAACGGCUUACCAAGGCAACGAUGCAUAGCCGACCUGAGAGGGGGAUCGGCCACACUGGAACUGGAACACGGUCCAGACUCCUACGGGAGGCAGCAGUAGGGAAUCUUCCGCAAUGGGCGAAAGCCUGACGGAGCAACGCCGCGUGAGUGAUGAAGGUCUUCGGAUCGUAAAACUCUGUUAUUAGGGAAGAACAUAUGUGUAAGUAACUGUGCACAUCUUGACGGUACCUAAUCAGAAAGCCACGGCUAACUACGUG
rnacentral:rRNA from 1 species